AAACACAAAUCUCAGGGGUAGAGCGUAUUACUAGUAGAGAUUUACAUCUUUAAUAAUAAGGUCCUCAGUUCAAAUCUGAGUGUGAGCA